GAUGAACGCUGGCGGCGUGCCUAAUACAUGCAAGUCGAGCGAACAGACGAGGAGCUUGCUCCUCUGAUGUUAGCGGCGGACGGGGGAGUAACACGUGGAUAACCUACCUAUACGACUGGUAUAACUUCGGGAAACCGGAGCGAAUACCGGAGAAUAUAUUGAACCGCAGGGUGCAAGAGUGAGAGACGGUUUUGCUGUGGCUUAGAGAUGGAUCCGCGCCGCAUUAGCUAGUUGGUAAGGUAACGGCUUACCAAGGCAACGAUGCGUAGCCGACCGGAGAGGGUGGUCGGCCACCAUGGAGCGGAGACACGGCCGAGACGCCUACGGGAGGCAGCAGUAGGGAAUCUUCCGGCAUGGGCGAAAGCCUGACGGAGCAACGACGCGUGAGUGAUGAAGGUCUUCGGAUCGUAAAACUCUGUUAUUAGGGAAGAACAAAUGUGUAAGUAACUAUGCACGGCUUGACGGUACCUAAUCAGAAAGCCACGGCUAACUACGUG
rnacentral:rRNA from 1 species